rnacentral:rRNA from 1 species
AUGAACGCUAGCUACAGGCUUAACACAUGCAAGUCGAGGGGAAACGAUAUUGGAAGCUUGCUUCUGAUAGGCGUCGACCGGCGCACGGGUGAGUAACGCGUAUCCAACCUGCCCAUCACUUGGGGAUAACCUUGUGAAAGUAAGACUAAUACCCAAUGACGUCUCUAGAAGACAUCUGAAAGAGAUUAAAGAUUUAUCGGUGAUGGAUGGGGAUGCGUCUGAUUAGCUUGUUGGCGGGGUAACGGCCCACCAAGGCGACGAUCAGUAGGGGUUCUGAGAGGAAGGUCCCCCACAUUGGAACUGAGACACGGUCCAAACUCCUACGGGAGGCAGCAGUGAGGAAUAUUGGUCAAUGGACGAGAGUCUGAACCAGCCAAGUAGCGUGCAGGAUGACGGCCCUAUGGGUUGUAAACUGCUUUUAUAAGGGAAUAAAGUGAGUCUCGUGAGACUUUUUGCAUGUACCUUAUGAAUAAGGACCGGCUAAUUCCGUG